rnacentral:rRNA from 1 species
UACAGAGACCUCAAGCGUUAUCCGGAAUUAUUGGGCGUAAAGCGUCCGCAGGUGGUUUGGUAAGUCAGGAGUCAAAACUUCGCGCUUAACGUGAAGGUUGCUUUUGAAACUACCAUUCUAGAGUAUGGGAGAGGUAAGCAGAAUUCUCGGUGUAGUCGUAAUAAGCGUUGAUAUCGAGAAGAAUACCAAAUGCGAAGGCAGCUUACUGGAACAUUACUGACACUCAUGGACGAAAGCGUGGGGAGCAAACAGG